CCCUCGGCCACACCGCGCGCCCCCGCCGCCGCCGGCCCCGCGGACGCAGGCAAAAGUUGGGGCGCCGGGCGGCGCUCGGGGCGCGGGUUCGGGCCCCGCGGGCGGCGACGCUGGCGACACCGCGCGGGCGGCGCUGCGCUCCUGCGCUGGCCCCGGCCCCCUCCUGCCCUCGCCCCUCGCCCCUCGCCCCGCACACGCCCAACUCCUCGAUCCCAACUCCUCGCGCGGCCCCGGCCCGGAGCGAUUUCCUGCUGCCGCCGCCGCCGCCCCUCCCGGGGGCGCAGGGUGAACUCUCGCGCUUACCGGGUCGGUCGGGCUCCUCCGCUGCCUAGUGCCGAGGGGAAAACAAAACGCAGAGCGGGCUCCGGAGUUGGCUCGGCAGCUGCGGCCAGGGGGCUGAAUCCACGGGCACGGAGUUGGCCGGGGGCGAACGGGGCUCUGGUGAGUUUCAGGGUCUCCGGGUCCCCGGGCCGCCUCCUCCGCGGCGCUCCUUUGUGUAAUUUCACUCGAUUCAAGUUUAAUCCGAUAGUUCCCGAGCACGAGCGCGUCCGCACCACCACGGCUCAACCCCCGCGCCGCCGCCGCUGCCGCCGCCGCUGCCGCCGCCGCCGCCGCCGCGGCUUCCGACACGCCAGCGCCUGCGCGCGUCCGGCACGCCGCGCGCACCCAGACCGCGGGGCCGCGCGCAUAUCCGCCACUCGGCUCCUCCGGGCCGCCAUCCGCGCCCGCGCGCCGCCACCUGACGUCAGGCGCGCCUGGCAUAAUUUAUGCAAGAAUUCGGCCGGGGUGGCGGAGGCCGAGGGAGAGGCCGAGAGAAAGGGGGCGGCGCGGAGCUGCAGGGGCCGCGAACCCGCAGGCCGCAAAGGCGGCCGAGGCGCCGCUUUGCCGCUUACGCUUGCGCGCUUGCUUUAUGUCCCGUCCCCGGGCGGGCGCCGGCGCUGCAGGCGGGUCCGCCGGCCGGUGCGCCGCUGCCCCGCAGCCUUCCUUGCCCAGCUGCUCGGAGCGCUCGGCCGCGGAGCCCAGGCGCGGGCAGGAGGGGCUGCUGCCACGUCUCCCGCGCAGCACCUUCCCGGAGCCGGGUGCGCCGCCCCGGGGCAGGAAGCGGGGCUCCUCGCCGGCUGCGACCCUCCUGGCCGCGGCGAAGGGUUUCCAACGCUGCGCGGCCGGCGGCGGCCGGAGGUGUCUGGCCGUCUCUGCAGUAAUUAUCCUUCAACUUGA
rnacentral:lncRNA from 1 species